GCGGCUCAAGGCACGCCGGGAAUUGUAGUCCAUGAAUGGUCCUACCCUCUACUCUUUCCCUGAGAUUUCGCCCUCCCAACGUGACCGGAGACGCUCAGUUCACGGAUGCAGUUGGUACUCCCAAGCUAGUUUGAUGUGGCGCGCUGGAUCCGGGAAGAGAACGGACUACAGCUCCCAGGAUCCCCUUAAGAUGGGCUUUGGGCUCCGGUAGGCGUCCACGGGGUUCGAGUGUUACUGCGCCAGGGGAGAUGUCGGGAGUCUGGGUCGUGAUUUUGUACAAGGUCUGAACCGGUUGUCUGCUGCGUUGGGGCAGUAGGUGGUACAGUCCAACCUAGCUGCCUUGGCUGCUUUCUACCUCUUCCAGCGACUUCUGGUUUCUUUCCCAACGGUCUGAAGCAGCAACCGUGCUGGCACUGCUCCUUCCGAGGUUACUCCAUCUGAGAUAACUGACCAAGACCAGGAAGAUAAAAACAAUGUCAGAGGCCAACUGGAGACAGGAUUUGCUUUGGGCAAAGCGUUCCACUUGCUGAAGGUUCAAGAGUUGGCAAGUCCUGUGGCCACUCCCUCCACACCCCCACCAUCAGAAGUAUAGUGAGGAGUCUGCUAGAGGAUGCCAACUUCUGGGAUUAUCCUCUAGGCAUAGUGGUGGGCCCAUACAGAAAAUUCUUGGACAGCUUUUCCUGGAAUGUUUCUACUAACAACCCAUCUCAAACAUGAGAUCCCUUUACAGCAGAUCCCAAAUGCAGAGCUGUCUGCCUGGGGCUCAGUUCCCUCAGAAUCUUCCACUGGGGGUUGAAUGGACAACGCUUACCUGGGAGAUACACCGAGGAGCUGCCAGGCUUUGGUGCGCUGUGCUCCUGGUUUAUUUCUAGCCUUUCCUAGGCAGAGGCGCCUUUUUGGUGUCAAUUAAAUUCCCAUGGCUAGAACCUAA